AAGGCAGGAAUUGGUGGGUACUGUAGUA
rnacentral:piRNA from 1 species